UGCUCUCUCGCUUAAUUUUUCUCUCCU
rnacentral:piRNA from 1 species